CAAAAAUAUCUGCUUUUAGCCGGAUAUUUCCGCUAUCUUUGCCAUGCUUUUAGAAAAGGGAAUCGUGUGAAACUCACGGACUGUCCCCGCAACUGUAAAUCACGCUAAAAAAUUGCUUCAAAAAAAACCACUGGAAACGGGAAGGUGAAGCAAAGUGAAAGUCAGGAGACCUUGCUGAAAGUACCAUUAUUA
rnacentral:ncRNA from 2 species